UGUAGAGUGAUGCAGUUGGUAGCACUGUUGUCUUACAGCAAAAGGUCCUGGGUUCAAAUCCCUGGGGUGUUUCUACAU